UCCGGCCUGACGACCGACUAAAACAUGCAGUCGAGCGGUAACAGGGGAAGCUUGCUUCUCGCUGACGAGCGGCGGACGGGUGAGUAAUGUAUGGGGAUCUGCCCGAUAGAGGGGGAUAACUACUGGAAACGGUAGCUAAUACCGCAUAAUCUCUCAGGAGCAAAGCAGGGGAACUUCGGUCCUUGCGCUAUCGGAUGAACCCAUAUGGGAUUAGCUAGUAGGUGAGGUAAUGGCUCACCUAGGCGACGAUCCCUAGCUGGUCUGAGAGGAUGAUCAGCCACACUGGGACUGAGACACGGCCCAGACUCCUACGGGAUGGCAUGCACGAUGGGGACAUAUAUUGUCACAAAUGGGCGUCAAGCCUGAUAGCAGCCAAUGCCGCGCUGUAUUGAAGAAGGCCCUUAGGGUUGUUAAAAUGUAUCUUUUCAGUCCGGAGGAAGGGCGUUGUUGCUAUAUUAUCAACAACGGAUAGACGUUUACCGACAGAAGAAGGCCACCGGCUAAAUUCCGUGUCCAGCAGGCCGCGGUAAAUACGGAGGGGUGCAAGCGUUAAAUCGGAAAUUACUUGGGCGUUAAAGCCGCACGCCAGGCGGUUGAUUUAAGUUAUGAUAAUGAAAUCCCUCGGGCUUAACCUGUGGAAUGGCCAUCUAAGACUGGUCAGCUAGAGUCUUGUAGAGGGGGGGUAGAAUUCCAUGUGUAGCGGUGAAAUGCGUAGAGAUGUGGGAGGAAUACCGGUGGCGAAGGCGGCCCCCCUGGACAAAGACUGACGCUCAGGUGCGAAAAGCGUGGGGAGAGCAAACAGGAUUAGAUACCCUGGUAGUCCACGCUGUAAAACGAUGUCGAUUUGAAGGUUGUUCCCUAGAGGAGUGGCUUUCGGAGCUAACGCGUUAAAUCGACCGCCUGGGGAGUACGGCCGCAAGGUUAAAACUCAAAUGAAUUGACGGGGGCCCGCACAAGCGGUGGAGCAUGUUGGUUUAAUUCGAUUGCAACGCCGAAGAACCUUACCUACUCUUGACAUCCAAAGAAUUUAGCAAGAAGAUGCUGUAGUGCCUUCCGGGAACUCUGAGACAGGUGCUGCAUUGGCUGUCGUCAGCUCGUGGUGUGAAAUUGUUGGGUUAAGUCCCGCAACGAAGCGCAACCCUUAUCCUUUGUUGCCAGCAAUUCGGUCGGGAACUCAAAGGAGACUGCCGGUGAUAAACCGGAAGAAGGUGGGGAUGACGUCAAGUUCAUCAUGGCCCUUACGAGUAGGGCUACACACGGGCUACAAUGGCGUAUACACAAGAGAAGCGACCUCGCGAGAGCAAGCGGAACUCAUAAAGUACGUUGUAGUCCGGAUUGGAGUUUGCAACUUGACUCCAUGAAGUCGGAAUCGCUAGUAAUUGUAGAUCAGAAUGCUACGGUGAAUACGUUCCCGGGCCUUGUACACACCGCCCGUCACACCAUGGGAGUGGGUUGCAAAAGAAGUAGGUAGCUUAACCUCGGGAGGGCGGUAACAUUUGGGAAUAUGUCCGGCC
rnacentral:rRNA from 1 species